AUUGAACGCUGGCGGCAUGCUUUACACAUGCAAGUCGAACGGUAACAGGCCGCAAGGUGCUGACGAGUGGCGAACGGGUGAGUAAGGCAUCGGAACGUGCCCAGUCGUGGGGGAUAACACAGCGAAAGUUGCGCUAAUACCGCAUACGAACUAUGGAUGAAAGCGGGGGACAGUAAGGCCUCGCGCGAUUGGCGCGGCCGAUGUCAGAUUAGGUAGUUGGUGGGGUAAAGGCUCACCAAGCCGACGAUCUGUAGCUGGUCUGAGAAGACGACCAGCCACACUGGGACUGAGACACGGCCCAGACUCCUACGUGAGGCAGCAGUGGGGAAUUUUGGACAAUGUGCGCAAGCCUGAUCCAGCAAUGCCGCGUGCAGGAAGAAGGCCUUCGGGUUGUAAAGCACUUUUGUCCGGAAAGAAAUGGCUCUGGUUAAUACCUGGGGUCGAUGACGGUACCGUAAGAAUAAGGACCGGCUAACUACGUGCCAGCCGCCGCGGUAAGAC
rnacentral:rRNA from 1 species